UACGUAGGGGGCAAGCGUUAUCCGGAUUUACUGGGUGUAAAGGGAGCGUAGACGGCAGUGCAAGUCUGAAGUGAAAGGCAAGGGCUCGACCCUUGGACUGCUUUGGAAACUGUGCUGCUGGAGUGUCGGAGAGGCAAGUGGAAUUCCUAGUGUAGCGGUGAAAUGCGUAGAUAUUAGGAGGAACACCAGUGGCGAAGGCGGCUUGCUGGACGAUGACUGACGUUGAGGCUCGAGAGCGUGGGGAGCAAACAGG
rnacentral:rRNA from 1 species